rnacentral:rRNA from 1 species
AUUGAACGCUGGCGGCGUGCCUAAUACAUGCAAGUCGAACGAAGCGGGGACGGGUGAGUAACAUGUGGAUAACCUCUUAUAAGACUGGGUUAAUUUUGGGAAACGGAGUUUAUACCCAUCAGUUAUCAAUUGAUCCACGCUGCAUUAGCUAGUUGGGAAGGUACUAGCUUACCAAGGCAACGAUGCAUAGACGAACUGAGAGGGUGAUCGGCGACACUGGAACGGAGAAACGGUCCAGACUCCUACGGGAGGCAGCAGUAGGGAAUCUUCCGCAAUGGGCGAAAGCCUUACGGAGCCACGCCGCGUGAGUGAAGAAGGUCUUCGGAUCGUAAAACACUGUUAGUAUGGAAGCGGUACCUAAUCAGAAAGCAACGGCUAACUCCGUGCCAGCAGCCGCGGUAAUUC